ensembl:lncRNA
CUUUGUUGCUGCUGGCUGAAUGAUUGCUCAUUCGUUCCUCCAUGAUGGGCCGGGCCUUGGAGGACUCAGCCCAGCUGUUCUGCAUGUGCUCUUUGGUGGAAGCCCAGAAGAAGUCAUGAUGAAAAUAUCAAGGACUGUGCUGACCUCGAUAUCCGCAAGACAGUCAAAGUGCUGGAGGGUACAGAAGAAUUGUCAUCUGAAGGAAAGAACAAUACUAAUGAGUUGUCACUGUCUUGGGAUUUGCCUCAAGUCACAUGUGAGAACAGAAGAUGCUGCUGGACAAGCUGAUGCUCCACGCAGUACUUGGAAGAAGCUCAAGACGGGUUAAACAGUUACGAAGGGGCUUAAAAGAGACGCUGAUCUGGCCUUUGCUAACUGAGAGGAAAGACACAAUUCCCCUCCUCUUUCCAAGAGCAUGUGAUGUACAGCGCACACCACAGCAUCUGUCAGCAUCCUUGGGAAACUCCUACAGUUGUGGAUAGGAUGGAAUGUGCUCCCCAGACACCAGCUGGAUAUCAGCGUGGUGGAGAGCAACUUCUCCACUUCCUCCACCUGCUUCCACCAGCUGAAGCUUCCAGUACAAAGACUACUGCCACUCUGAAAUGGACCUUUGUGCUGCUACUUGUAGGACACUGUGUUUGGGUUGGUCUAAGGACACUGUCCAUCAAGAUAACACUUUGUAUGUGCACUUCAGAGCUGCAAUGAAUAGU